rnacentral:rRNA from 1 species
UACGAAGGGGGCUAGCGUUGCUCGGAAUCACUGGGCGUAAAGCGCAUGUAGGCGGACUCUUAAGUGAGGGGUGAAAGGUUCAGGGCUCAACCCGAACACUGCCUUUCAUACUGGGAGUCUUGAGUACGGGAGAGGCGAGUGGAAUGGUCGGUGUAGCGGUGAAAUGCGUAGAUAUCGAUCGGAACACCCAUGGCGAAGGCAGCUCGCUGGCCUGUAACUGACGCUGAGGUGCGAAAGCGUGGGAGCAAACAGG